GUGAGGCCGCUGGCGGCUACGGGCCCGUAAGGGCCUGAGGAAGCUCCACCCUCCCCGCGGUCCGGGGUCCCGCGAGGGACCGGGUUGAGAGCCCGGGCUCCGGCACAGAAACGAGACCCGGCCCGGGAAGCUAGGAAGGAGAUGGGCUCCCGGCGACGGGGCCCUAUCCGGAGCGAUGAACCGGGUUCGGGCUGAAACGGCCGUUCCCCCGGGGCGCAAGGCGCGGGGCCGAUGCCGGCCGCGGAAGGCCCCCGAGGUCCGCUUAGCCAAAUGCCGCCGAAGUACAGAAGGUGGGCUACAGCGGCCUCAC
rnacentral:RNase_P_RNA from 1 species